rnacentral:rRNA from 1 species
GAAAUGCGAUAAGUAAUGUGAAUUGCAGAAUUCAGUGAAUCAUCGAAUCUUUGAACGCACCUUGCGCUCCUUGGUAUUCCUUGGAGCAUGCCUGUUUGAGUAUCGUGAAAUCUUCAAAGUAAAUCUUUUGUUCACUCAAUUGGUUCUACUUUGGUAUUGGAGGUUCCAUUGCAGCUUCACAUCUGCUCCUCUUUGUGCAUUAGCUGGAUUCUCAGUGUUAUGCUCGGUUCCACUCGGCGUGAUAAGUAUCACUCGCCGAGGACACUGUAAAAGGUGGCCGGGAUUGCGGAUGAACCGCUUCUAAUAGUCCAUUGACUUGGACAAUAAAUACUUUAUGAUCUGAUCUCAAAUCAGGUAGGACUACCCGCUGAACUUAAGCAUAUCAAUAAGCGGAGGAAAAGAACUAA